UAGGGAAUCUUCGGCAAUGGACGAAAGUCUGACCGAGCAACGCCGCGUGAGUGAAGAAGGUUUUCGGAUCGUACAACUCUGUUGUUAGAGAAGAACAAGGACGUUAGUAACUGAACGUCCCCUGACGGUAUCUAACCAGAAAGCCACGGCUAACUACGUGCCAGCAGCCGCGGUAAUACGUAGGUGGCAAGCGUUGUCCGGAUUUAUUGGGCGUAAAGCGAGCGCAGGCGGUUUCUUAAGUCUGAUGUGAAAGCCCCCGGCUCAACCGGGGAGGGUCAUUGGAAACUGGGAGACUUGAGUGCAGAAGAGGGGAGUGGAAUUCCAUGUGUAGCGGUGAAAUGCGUAGAUAUAUGGAGGAACACCAGUGGCGAAGGCGGCUCUCUGGUCUGUAACUGACGCUGAGGCUCGAAAGCGUGGGGAGCAAACAGG
rnacentral:rRNA from 1 species